UCUGAAGGGCCAAAAUUCCCUAAAGAUACCAGAUCCCAUCUUGGAUGCUAAGCAGGGUCAGCCCUGGUUAGAACCUGGAUGGGAGACUGCCAAUGAUUUCCAGGUGCUCCAGAC
rnacentral:rRNA from 1 species